CAAAUGGGUGGGAGCAAAUGCUCCAACUUGGAGGGACUUUAGCUCCAAAUGGGAGGGUCAGCUCCAAAGGGGAGGACUUUAGCUCCAAAUGGUUAAGGGCUGGUAAGGGCAGGCCAAGCGAGCUCCAGGGCAUUUUACCCAGGAGUGUGCAGUUUAUCAUGCAUGCAAUCCAGCUGUGCUAAUGAGUAAUGCCACUGUUUAUACAGAGAGAAUGCAUGGCACCAUUUAUCAUUAAAUUAAAUUAAAACUAUAAGAAAAAAAUGUUGAUAUUUAGCUUUAAAUCUGUGUUUUUGUCAUCAUUUAUCACCACGCACCUUUGUACUGGAGCGAUUGGGAAUUCCCGCAUACUUGCCAUCACUUCUGGAUUUUUGCCUAAAUUCUGCCCAUUUCUGAAAUCCCGCCUACUUGAGGUGUAAGUAACUCCCACUUGGAGGUCCCCGGGCUGCAGUGAUAUCUACUUGGGCGGGUAUGCAACCGAUGGACACUAUGCGAGUCAAAAAUCCCAUAAUGCAACUGGACUGGUGCGGACAAGCUCAAAA